rnacentral:rRNA from 1 species
GAUGAACGCUGACAGAAUGCUUAACACAUGCAAGUCGAUUCGAUUUACCUUCGGGUAUUGAGGAUGGCGGACGGGUGAGUAACGCGUAAGGAACUUGCCUCUUGGUCUGGGACAACUGUUGGAAACGACAGCUAAUACCGGAUAUUAUGAGAUUCUCGCAUGGGAAACUUAUGAAAGCUAUAUGCGCCAAGAGAGAGCCUUGCGUUCCAUUAGCUAGUUGGUGGGGUAACGGCCCACCAAGGCGACGAUGGAUAGCCGGCCUGAGAGGGUGAACGGCCACAAGGGGACUGAGGCACGGCCCUUACUCCUACGGGAGGCAGCAGUGGGGAAUAUUGGACAAUGGGCCACAAGCCUGAUCCAGCAAUUCUGUGUGCACGAUGAAGGUCUUCGGAUUGUAAAGUGCUUUCAGUUGGGAAGAAGAAAGUGACGGUACCAACAGAAGAAGCGACGGCUAAAUACGUGCCAGCAGCCGCGGUAAUACGUAUGUCGCAAGCGUUAUCCGGAUUUAUUGGGCGUAAAGCGCGUCUAGGCGGAAAAAUAAGUCUGAUGUUAAAAUGCGGGGCUCAACUCCGUAUUGCGUUGGAAACUGUUUUUCUAGAGUACUGGAGAGGUGGGCGGAACUACAAGUGUAGAGGUGAAAUUCGUAGAUAUUUGUAGGAAUGCCGAUGGAGAAGUCAGCUCACUGGACAGANACUGACGCUAAAGCNCGAAAGCNNGGGGAGCAAACAGGAUUAGAUACCCUGGUAGUCCACGCCGUAAACNAUGAUCACUA